rfam:Ornithorhynchus anatinus chromosome 2, whole genome shotgun sequence.
UCCCUCUCAGGACUGCACCUGGAGAGUUUCCAGUACUCUACCAGCCUCAGCUAUGGGACGGAGAGUCAAGCAGAGGCGUACCCAUUCCAUUCCUAGCUUGGACAGUGGCUAGCGAGUGGAAAGACAUCUGCUACAAGU